GUUUGCAAAGGCAGAGGCAGGAGAGAGUACUCUGGGCUUGUCGGGAGUGGUGCAGGAAUGAAGAGAGUCUCUGCAAAACCUCAAAGACAGAAAGAAAUGGAAUGCUGCAUCUGGGGAACAGUGAAAGAAUGACAAGAUUACUGAUGGCUCAGCAAUCACAUAUGAAAAUACUUUCAGUAACCUGGAACACAGUUCAUCCAGAUCCUACAACUUGAACACAUGAAGAGGAAGUGAGAAGAAAGUCACUAAGCCAGAAUGGAAACCAAGAAAACUGGGAGGCAGAGAUGAGCAGGGAGAAGAUUCCAGCCAUGGGAGAUAGCCAGUGACAAUGCAAAGUUGGGAGAUAGAUAGGGACAGCAAGGAGUCAUUGGAUCUAGAAAGACUAGAAAGGUUGGAAGGGGGCAGGUUAUGAAGGGCUUUAAAAGACAAACAGAAAAUUUUUAUUUGAUCCUGAAGGUAAUAGGGAGCCACUGGAGUUCACUGUCAGCCAAUCAAUAAACUUUUUUUCUUCUUUAAUUGUAAUCUUUUUAAAUAAACAUUUUUAUUUAAAAUUUUAUAUUCCAAAUUCUAUCCCUCCCUCUCUUCCUCCUCCCCUAGGUGGUAAACAAUUAGAUAUGUUAUAAAUGGGCAAUUAUGUAAAACAUUACCAUAUUAGUACUUUUGGAUAAGAAGAAUAAAAGAAAAAAUGAAAGAAAGUGAAAAAUAGCAUAUUUUAGUCUGUGUACAAUCAAUCUUAGUUCUUUCUUUGGAGGUGGAUAGUAUGCUUCAUCAUUAGUCCUUUGGGAUUGAGAUGGAAGGUGAUC